rnacentral:lncRNA from 1 species
GCAUGCUCCCCUCAUGCUUCUGCGCAUGGGCCUUGCCCUCUGCCCUCUGCCCUCUGCUCUCCUCACAUUUGAUUACAAGGUCUAACCAUGAUGAGAUGAGGCCUGGUUUGUCCUUCCAGGAAGUAAACCUCAUGAGGACAGGACCAGUGUCUGUUUCUGUUUGCUUCUGCCUGGUUCGGGAAGGGGACAACUGUGGUGCCAACUCUCAGAAGUCCUGGACACACAUCCUUCGAGCCUGGGCACCUCUGAUACUGGUUUUCUUAGACUGAAGGUCUCUACCCAGCAAUGCAUAGUCAUGAGCUCUGCUGGGGACAUGGGUGAAGCAGUUGCUGCCUAUCCAUGAAAAUGAAGGCAUUCACCAAGAACAGGUUCCCAGGAGCUUUGUUCUGAAGAGCGUGUAGCUUGGAAGCCUGUUCUUGGAUUUCUAGGGUCACUUCACACAGACUGUUGCAUCAAGAGUUACAGUCCAUCAUCCAGGGACACUAAAGCUGAAACCGGAAGCAGAAACUGCAGCAAAGACGAUAGAGGAAUGGUGCUUACUGGCUUGCUCCUUCUGGCUUGUUGCUAGCUUUCUUAUACAGACCAAGUCCACUUUCCUAGGGAUGACACCACCCACCGUGGGUUGGGCCCUCCGCCAUUCAUUAGCAAGUAAGAAAAUAACUCACAGAUAUGGCCAUAGAUCAAUCUGAAUAUAGCAAUUCUUUAUUGAGGCUCUUUCUUCCCAGGUGAUUCUUGGUUUAUGGAUUAAGAAAGCUGAAAUUAAUUUUGACAGGC